UUCCGUAGGUGAACCUGCGGAAGGAUCAUUACCGAGUGCGGGCCCUCUGGGUCCAACCUCCCACCCGUGUCUACCGUACCAUGUUGCUUCGGCGGGCCCGCCGUCAGGCCGCCGGGGGGCGACCGCCCCCGGGCCCGCGCCCGCCGAAGACCUGUGAACUCUCUGUCUGAAGGUUGCAGUCUGAGUAUGAUUACCAAAUCGUUAAAACUUUCAACAACGGAUCUCUUGGUUCCGGCAUCGAUGAAGAACGCAGCGAAAUGCGAUAAGUAAUGUGAAUUGCAGAAUUCAGUGAAUCAUCGAGUCUUUGAACGCACAUUGCGCCCCCUGGUAUUCCGGGGGGCAUGCCUGUCCGAGCGUCAUUGCUGCCCUCCAGCCCGGCUGGUGUGUUGGGCCGCCGUCCCGUCUCCCUCCGGGGGGCUGGGACGGGCUCGAAAGGCAGCGGCGGCACCGCGUCCGGUCCUCGAGCGUAUGGGGCUUUGUCACCCGCUCCGCAGGCCCGGCCGGCGCUGGCCGACCUUCCAACCUAGUGUUAUUUCUCCAGGUUGACCUCGGAUCAGGUAGGGAUACCCGCUGAACUUAAGCAUAUCAAUAAGCGGAGGA
rnacentral:rRNA from 1 species